AUUGAACGCUGGCGGCAUGCUUUACGCAUGCAAGUCGAACGGUAACAGGCCGCAAGGUGCUGACGAGUGGCGAACGGGUGAGUAAUGCAUCGGAACGUGCCCAGUCGUGGGGGAUAACGCAGCGAAAGCUGUGCUAAUACCGCAUACGAUCUAUGGAUGAAAGCGGGGGACCGUAAGGCCUCGCGCGAUUGGAGCGGCCGAUGUCAGAUUAGGUAGUUGGUGGGGUAAAGGCUCACCAAGCCAACGAUCUGUAGCUGGUCUGAGAGGACGACCAGCCACACUGGGACUGAGACACGGCCCAGACUCCUACGGGAGGCAGCAGUGGGGAAUUUUGGACAAUGGGCGCAAGCCUGAUCCAGCGAUGCCGCGUGCAGGAAGAAGGCCUUCGGGUUGUAAACUGCUUUUGUACGGAACGAAACGGUCUGGGUUAAUACCCUGGGCUAAUGACGGUACCGUAAGAAUAAGCACCGGCUAACUACGUGCCAGCCGCCGCGGUAAGAC
rnacentral:rRNA from 1 species